CCGUGCUAAGCGGGGAGGUAGCGGUGCCCUGUACUCGCAAUCCGCUCUAGCGAGGCCGAAUCCCUUCUCGAGGCUUGAGCCAUGCCCAAUGUGUGCGG
rnacentral:SRP_RNA from 1 species